GAUGAACGCUGGCGGUAUGCUUAACACAUGCAAGUCGAACGGACUCUUCGGAGUUAGUGGCGGACGGGUGAGUAACGCGUGAGAAUCUGGCUUUGGGUUCGGGACAACCACUGGAAACGGUGGCUAAUACCGGAUGUGUCGAGAGGUAAAAGAGAAAUUGCCUGAAGAUGAGCCCGCGUCUGAUUAGCUAGUUGGUGAGGUAAAGGCUCACCAAGGCAGCGAUCAGUAGCUGGUCUGAGAGGAUGACCAGCCACACUGGGACUGAGACACGGCCCAGACUCCUACGGGAGGCAGCAGUGGGGAAUUUUCCGCAAUGGGCGAAAGCCUGACGAAGCAAUACCGCGUGAGGGAAGAAGGCUCUUGGGUUGUAAACCUCUUUUCUUAGGGAAGAACAAAAUGACGGUACCUAAGGAAUCAGCAUCGGCUAACUCCGUG
rnacentral:rRNA from 1 species